rnacentral:rRNA from 1 species
UGGGGAAUAUUGGACAAUGGAGGAAACUCUGAUCCAGCAAUUCUGUGUGUGUGAAGAAGGUUUUAGGACUGUAAAACACUUUUAGUAGGGAAGAAAAAAAUGACGGUACCUACAGAAGAAGCAACGGCUAAAUACGUGCCAGCAGCCGCGGUAAUACGUAUGUUGCGAGCAUUAUCCGGAAUUAUUGGGCUUAAAGGGCAUCUAGGCGGUAAGACAAGUUGAAGGUGAAAACCUGUGGCUCAACCAUAGGCUUGCCUACAAAACUGUUGAACUAGAGUACUGGAAAGGUGGGUGGAACUACACGAGUAGAGGUGAAAUUCGUAGAUAUGUGUAGGAAUGCCGAUGAUGAAGAUAACUCACUGGACAGAAACUGACGCUGAAGUGCGAAAGCUAGGGGAGCAAACAGG